AACGGGUGAGUAAUACAUAAGUAACCUGCCCUAGACAGGGGGAUAACUAUUGGAAACGAUAGCUAAGACCGCAUAGGUACGGACACUGCAUGGUGACCGUAUUAAAAGUGCCUCAAAGCACUAGUAGAGGAUGGACUUAUGGCGCAUUAGCUGGUUGGCGGGGUAACGGCCCACCAAGGCGACGAUGCGUAGCCGACCUGAGAGGGUGACCGGCCACACUGGGACUGAGACACGGCCCAGACUCCUACGGGAGGCAGCAUG
rnacentral:rRNA from 1 species